CCUGACUUUCUUCAGUGAUGGACCACCACGUGGAAGUUGGGAUUCUGUCGCUGUUCUCCAUCCCAGCAGAAGAUUCUGAUUUCCAAACGGAAGCCACACCUGAAAUCUCUCAGGCCACCUGAACAGGAAGCCACAUUUAUGAAUAAGUACGUCUGUUUCUACCUCCUCUUAUCACAUCUCUGGCGUGAGGGGUCUGAGGUUUCCUCCUCGAAGCAUGCUGUUUCCUGCAGAUAACACAGCAGAUCUCUCACCUCAGCACGCACUGCCUUUUCUGUGCUGAUGACACGGAGCAAGGAGAUGCUCAUCACCCCAAACUCUGCUGGCGGUGGCUUUGCUUUCUAGCACAUCCCCCGCCAUUCUGGGUUUGCUUAGCACAGCAAGAUUGUGUAUCAGAGGUUAGAGGCCAUUUCCAUGACCACUUCCAUGCUGGGCCCUGAGGCCAGUGUCUGGCAGUUUAGAUGCAUUUCCUGCACGCUCCUUAACUCUGGUCUUGAUGUCAAAGACACCAGAGGAGCAGGGGUCCAAUAGUUGCUUAAUUAGCUUUUACAUAUAUUCCCUUCCCUGCUUUAAGUGUCUGUAAACUCAUAGGUUUGGACAUUAACCUGGUUCUAGAUCUGUGACAUAUGAUAACAAUAAGCUAUAAACAGAACUAUAAACAUGUUGGCAAAUGUCAGUAUUUAUAGUGGAUUUUUACACUUUUUUGGGUUAAAUAUUGCCAUAAACAAUGGAAUUGACAACCUCUCCCCCACCCCUAAAAAAAAAAUCCAACAUUUAAAGUUGGAUUUCAAAGUCUUCAAGAAAUGAAUAAAUAAGAGUUGUCACAAUUAAGGUGCUUUACUCUUUCACAAUUAAGGUGCUUAAAACUGGAGGCAAUUCACCAAGUGAGCUCUGGCUGAUGCAAUGAUUGUCCUACCCUAAGAGGGCCCCUAGGUCCAUGUGAAGAUAACUUCAUCCAAAGGGAGUGGAACAGCAUUUACGGAGUGAUCACAAAGCUCCAGCGAAUGGUAACCAAAGGGAAGAAGCUUACCUGGAGAGAAAGCCUUCCCGUGUCAUUUCAGGCACAAUAACAGGUCGGGUAUUUCAAGGGACAAGUAAGGAGAAACAUCAAGAUCAUG